rnacentral:rRNA from 1 species
GACGAACGCUGGCGGCGUGCCUAAUACAUGCAAGUCGAACGAGAGCGACCGGUGCUUGCACUGGUCAAUCUAGUGGCGAACGGGUGAGUAACACGUGGGUAACCUGCCCAUCAGAGGGGGAUAACAUCCGGAAACGGAUGCUAAAACCGCAUAGGUCUUCGAACCGCAUGGUUUGAAGAGGAAAAGAGGCGCAAGCUUCUGCUGAUGGAUGGACCCGCGGUGCAUUAGCUAGUUGGUGAGGUAACGGCUCACCAAGGCAGUGAUGCAUAGCCGACCUGAGAGGGUGAUCGGCCACAUUGGGACUGAGACACGGCCCAAACUCCUACGGGAGGCAGCAGUAGGGAAUCUUCCGCAAUGGACGCAAGUCUGACGGAGCAACGCCGCGUGAGUGAAGAAGGUUUUCGGAUCGUAAAACUCUGUUGUUAGAGAAGAACAAGUGCUAGAGUAACUGUUAGCGCCUUGACGGUAUCUAACCAGAAAGCCACGGCUAACUACGUG